AUCAGCCUGGAAUAUUAAAUUUUCAGCCUGUUACACCAAGUUAUCAGCCUGAAAAUAGACCAGCAGGUACUACAAAAAAUGAAAUAAAUUUACAAAUCAAAAAAUGAUGUCUAAUUUAAUAUAAUCAAAUAAUUUUUUUUAAUUUUAGUUUAUCAGCCUGGAAUAUUAAGUACUAAAAAAAAUGAAAUAAAUUUACAUAUCAGAAAAUAACUUCCUAAUUAAACAAUAUAAUUAUUUACAAUAUAUUUUUUUUAUGUUAUCAGCCUAGAAAUAGACCAAACUAAAAAUUGAAAUAAAUUUACAAAUCAAAAAUAUGAUUUCUAAUCAAAUAAUGAUAAAAAAAAAUUUUUAAAUUUUUAUCAGCCUGUUAGACUAAGUACUACAAAAAAUGAAAUAAAUUUACAAAUCAAAAAAUGACUUCUAAUUAAAUAUAAUAAAAAAAAUUUUUUUUAGAUUAUCAGCCUAGAAUUAGACCAAGUACUAAAAAAAAUAAAUAAAUUUAAAAAUCAAAAUGACUUCUAAUUAAACAUAAUAAAUUAUUUACAAUAUAUUCUUUUUUAAUUUUAGAUUAUCCUAGAAUUAGAAGUACUAAAAAAAUGAAAUAAAU